rnacentral:rRNA from 1 species
GAUGAACGCUGGCGGCGUGCCUAAUACAUGCAAGUCGAGCGAACAGACGAGGAGCUUGCUCCUCUGACGUUAGCGGCGGACGGGUGAGUAACACGUGGAUAACCUACCUAUAAGACUGGGAUAACUUCGGGAAACCGGAGCUAAUACCGGAUAAUAUAUUGAACCGCAUGAUUCAAUAGUGAAAGACGGUUUUGCUGUCACUUAUAGAUGGAUCCGCGCCGCAUUAGCUAGUUGGUAAGGUAACGGCUUACCAAGGCAACGAUGCGUAGCCGACCUGAGAGGAUGAUCGGCCACACUGGAACUGAGACACGGUCCAGACUCCUACGGGAGGCAGCAGUAGGGAAUCUUCCGCAAUGGGCGCAAGCCUGACGGAGCCACGCCGCGUGAGUGAUGAAGGUCUUCGGAUCGUAAAACUCUGUUAUUAGGGAAGAACAAAUGUGUAAGUAACUAUGCACGUCUUGACGGUACCUAAUCAGAAAGCCACGGCUAACUACGUG